rnacentral:rRNA from 1 species
GACGAACGCUGGCGGCGUGCUUAACACAUGCAAGUCGAACGGGAUUUAGUAAACAGAAGCCUCGGUGGAAGAUUACUAAUGAGAGUGGCGAACGGGUGAGUAACGCGUGAGCAACCUGCCUAUGACAGUGGGAUAGCCUCGGGAAACCGGGAUUAAUACCGCAUAAAAUCGUAGAAACACAUGUUUUAACGGUCAAAGAUUUAUCGGUCAUAGAUGGGCUCGCGUCUGAUUAGCUAGUUGGUGAGAUAACAGCCCACCAAGGCGACGAUCAGUAGCCGGUCUGAGAGGAUGAACGGCCACAUUGGAACUGAGACACGGUCCAAACUCCUACGGGAGGCAGCAGUGGGGAAUAUUGUACAAUGGGGGAAACCCUGAUGCAGCGACGCCGCGUGAACGAAGAAGGUAUUCGUAUCGUAAAGUUCUGUCCUAUGGGAAGAUAAUGACAGUACCAUAGAAGAAAGCUCCGGCUAAAUACGUG